CUUUAAUGUUAGAAUUAAUAGGUUUUAUUAAUAAGUUAAAUGGAGAGAUUUGGAAGGUCAAGAGACAGUAGACAAGUUAAUAGUAUUUACAAUUAUGUUUCCUAGAAUAUCAAAAGUUUCUGAAUAUGUAUAAAGACCAAAAUUGUACUCAAUAAAAAUACAGACGUUGCAAUUGA